AGAUCCAGCAGGAUGGCCCUGAACUCCUCGUCCUCACACAGAUCUUAGAAGGACACGGAUAAACGUCGAGGUGUAUUGAUAAGAGGGUGCUGAGAUAUAAAUAUACCAAUGGGAGUCUCGUCUAGGAAGGUCUUGGCAUUGAGACUGGCUCCGUGAGACACCAACAGCUCUGCCACAUGCAUCUGAAACAACAACAACAACAGGAGACUGGGUUUGAGUGACUGACGACGCCGAACGCCAGGAUGAGAAGAUGAUGUGUCCUGUAUUAUUACUGGAGUGCCUGCCUGCAGGAGCCUGAAUAUUAGGCCUCAGACGACGGAGGAAGAGGGGAGAGGACAUAAACUGUCAGUGGGGUUGUAAAAUUCAGAGAGGGACGAAUGAGAAGAGAGGGAGGAGGACGCGAUGGAGAGAAGAGAAAACCAGGGUUUUAUGUGGGACCAAAAACAUUCUUUCUGCUCAUCUGACUUGACUCAACACGGGUUGUUAAAACAACAUCUUUUCAAACAGUUUCAAACAAUGAACGAAGUCAGAAUUGAUCUGGGCAGCACCACUGAAAACACAGGUCUGUCUCGAUCAUCUUCUCCUGUCGAAUGAAUUUACUACCUUCAGUAAACCUGGGAGGAAAGGAAGGGAAAUUCUUCUUUUUCUGUUAUAUUUUAAGCAGAUUUAAUGUUUUAGUGGACAAAACCUGUUUGCACAUCUUGAAAAAGUUCUAUUCUGAUUGAUUUUGGAGCAUUUAAUAGAUCAUUGAAAGAAUAAAAACACAUAUCUCACCAUUUUAUGCUUUUCUCAAAUCAUUCUCAGUUUUUCAGUUUGAAGAAAUAUUCUAAGCGAUGUUCAGAGGUCUGUUGUUUCGCUCAAGGACAGCUCAGAGAGGACAGAAAAGUAU